rnacentral:rRNA from 1 species
UCCUACGGGAGGCAGCAGUGGGGAAUAUUGCACAAUGGGCGCAAGCCUGAUGCAGCCAUGCCGCGUGUAUGAAGAAGGCCUUCGGGUUGUAAAGUACUUUCAGCGGGGAGGAAGGUGUUGUGGUUAAUAACCACAGCAAUGACGUACCGCAGAAGAAGAACCCAUCGGC